rnacentral:rRNA from 1 species
AUUGAACGCUGGCGGCAGGCCUAACACAUGCAAGUCGAGCGGCAGCGGGAAGUAGCUUGCUACUUUGCCGGCGAGCGGCGGACGGGUGAGUAAUGUCUGGGAAACUGCCCGAUGGAGGGGGAUAACUACUGGAAACGGUAGCUAAUACCGCAUAACGUCGCAAGACCCAAGAGGGGGACCUUCGGGCCUCUUGCCAUCGGAUGUGCCCGGAUGGGAUUAGCUAGUAGGUGGGGUAACGGCGCACCUAGGCGACGAUCCCUAGCUGGUCUGAGAGGAUGACCAGCCACACUGGAACUGAGACACGGUCCAGACUCCUACGGGAGGCAGCAGUGGGGAAUAUUGCACAAUGGGCGCAAGCCUGAUGCAGCCAUGCCGCGUGUAUGAAGAAGGCCUUCGGGUUGUAAAGUACUUUCAGCGGGGAGGAAGGUGUUGAGGUUAAUAACCUCAGCAAUUGACGUUACCCGCAGAAGAAGCACCGGCUAACUCCGUGCCAGCCGCCGCGGUAAUAC